rnacentral:rRNA from 1 species
ACCUACGGCCACGCUACCCUGCACAAGCCCGAUUCUGGCUGAUCUUGGAAGCUAAGCAGGGUCGGGCCUGGUUAGUACUUGGAUGAGAGACCACCUAGGAAGACCAGGUGCUGUAGGCA